AGGUGGGGGGGGGACGGGACAGCUGCUUCCUGAGCUUCUAGCCCACUGACCUAUGCCAAUAUAACAGGUUUUUAAAAUAUUGACAGUCUUUAUGUAUGUGAAAUGUUUGACAGAUUUUAAAACAGUACUUUAAAGAAGGAAACUGUAAAUGCAUUUCUACUUCCAAGAACAUCACUGAUUUUACACCUUUCUGUUGGCUGAAAAGACUGCAGUGUGAUCUGUAACACUUGGGAUACUAAAAGCAUGGAAUCUUGCCUGCCCUUCUUGUAGGGGCUUCCUGUCAAGUGUGCUUUUCUUCUCCAGAUGCACACUGUUCUUCACCCUACUGGGCUUAUCAGGUUGCUGUGCAACUAUGUUCCUCUGACUGAAUUGAUUCUUCAGUGUGUCCCUAUGGUGACUCUUUUCUGAAAUGACAGGACUUGGCAAAUGACUGGAUCAUGGAGGUGGAAGAAGAAUGCGUUAGAAGUUAAAGAUGAUACACAGUCUGGAAGCUUGGGAACCUUUCAGGACAGAAUAUGAACCUCAGCACUCUGAAGAGAGGAAAAGAAUAAAAUAAUUCAAGGCAAGUAUUAAACUUCUUCAGAAACAAUGAAAAAUCUUAAAUGAUAAACAUCAGUAACUCCAAAAUACCUACACUAAACACUAUGAUUUAUUGCUGACAACAAUAAUAAUAUGUUAACGUUUAAUAUAAAAGAAGAUACACAGCUAUUUCACUAAUUUCAUGCAUUUCAAUCUUUGGUAAAAGUCAGAUUUCAUUCCAAGAAACUUCGAAACUGAAUAAACCAAGUUAGACAUACUUGCAUGCUUAAUUCUAAACUUGAGGUCAAAUCUACCUGAUACAGAAGCUAGAAUGUCAAAAAUACAUAAAAUUUCCAAGGGCCCAAUAUGCUUAGUGUAGUUUCUGUGGCUACCAAGGACCCCACCUUCUUUUCUCUUAAGCUGCGGUGAUCUUU